AACGAACGCUGGCGGCAUGCCUAACACAUGCAAGUCGAACGAGACCUUCGGGUCUAGUGGCGCACGGGUGCGUAACGCGUGGGAACCUGCCCUUAGGUUCGGAAUAACUCCCCGAAAGGGGUGCUAAUACCGGAUAAUGUCUUCGGACCAAAGAUUUAUCGCCUUUGGAUGGGCCCGCGUUGGAUUAGCUCGUUGGUAGGGUAAAAGCCUACCAAGGCGACGAUCCAUAGCUGGUCUGAGAGGAUGAUCAGCCACACUGGGACUGAGACACGGCCCAGACUCCUACGGGAGGCAGCAGUGGGGAAUAUUGGACAAUGGGCGAAAGCCUGAUCCAGCAAUGCCGCGUGAGUGAUGAAGGCCUUAGGGUUGUAAAGCUCUUUUAACCGGGAUGAUAAUGACAGUACCGGGAGAAUAAGCCCCGGCUAACUCCGUG
rnacentral:rRNA from 1 species